rnacentral:lncRNA from 1 species
CUUUUGGCAUCGUUUUCGCGGUAUCUCUCAAAGCUCUUUAUCUCUGCCUUUUUUUUCCGUUGUUCAGUUUUGUUGCGCUGAUGCCUGAAAUGAUCGAUAUUUGAAUUUAUAUAAGCCUAUGAAGGAUUAGGAUUAUGGGUUUAAAUCAAAGUUAAAAAAUUUAACAAUAUGAUAGCUUCUGCAUGCUGGUAAAGGGAAAAAAAAUCUACCCUGUCUAAGUGGUGGUUAGAACUUGAACUUGGGUUUGGAGAUUUUAGUUGCAAAGUUCAAAUUAGAAUUUAUGAGCCGGGGAUGUGCCAUAAGAAAAUAAUGAAAUUCUGCUUGUGUUAGAGUCCAAAGCUCCAUUGUGGAGUUACAGGGAAAAGGACUGAGAAAGAAUGUUCAUACUCGAGAGAUUUUUUGUAGAUUACAUUUCCUCAGGAGGGGGAUAAGGGAAUGAAUUAAAAAGAUCAGAUAAACACUAAAUAGGCACCCGUGAAAUUUGGAGAAUUAUGGGAGAUUAAUCUGAAACUUUAUUCGAAUUUGGUGGCUGCAACAAGGUAGCCUGGACUAUUUCUUGAGAUUUUCUUUUCUUGGGUUUGUGAUGGGAAUUAUGGAAGGUGAACAGCAUGCAGCACCCAGACUUGCUGGGCUUCAUUUUGUGCUGACCAAAUGUGAAGAUGUAGUUCCCGAGUUUGGUGAAACAUGGAAACUAAUCUGUGGUUAUGGUUUAAAAUUUUAUGCUAAUAUACAUCAUAAAGGAAACAAAUGACCCUACCCCUCAUUUUGCCUUGCAUGGAAUUUGUAGAAUGUUACAUCCUUCAGUAGAAUCAGUAGCGCUCAGAGUUUCUUCUAUGUAAUUUCUUCAUCGUAUACUAUAAGAAAUAUCGAUGUAACUUAAAGUACUUGACACAAUUGAGAUCCACUCUUAAAGACCUAAGUUUAUGACAGCUUUCUAACCUUACACACAAAACACUCGUUUUCAUAAUAUUUUUCAUUGGAUUAAGCACUGCCUUCUUUUUUGUAAUACGUUUAAUCGGUAGCGCUCAUAGUUUCUUUUAUUUCAUGGUCGAUGUAGACUAUCUGUUACAUUCAUUCAUGGAUUACUCAAAAGGUGGUUUGAGAAGUAGGUGGGUGAUUGAUCUAGACCUGUUGCAGACCAAUUUAUAUGCUUCUAUGAAGACACUUGGCUAUGAUUUGUCUCUUUCGUAUGGUUGAAAUACUUGAAAAUCCAAUAAGUUGUAGUCCUUGGUGAAUUGGUUUUCUGGGGAAGGGAGAGAGUUGUUUAUUUCAAGAAUAGGCUGGACCUACCCUGUUGUACUUUUUCUUUUCACUAUAACUAGGAAAGAACCAUGGCUUUUCAAAAUUCAUUGCUAUCCAUGGAACAGAUGAGCUAUUUUGCUUGUUUAUUUCAAGAAUAGGCUGGACCUACCCUGUUGUACUUUUUCUUUUCACUAUAACUAGGAAAGAACCAUGGCAUUUCAAAAUUCAUUGCUAUCCAUGGAACAGGUGAGCUAUUUUGCUUGUUUCUGGUUAGAAAAGGCAC